UCAUCAGGUUAUCAACCAAAUAAUCGUCUUUCACAGUAUCUUGUAUCGAUUUCAAACAAUCUUGACCAAAGGACGCAAGUUCACUAUACCUAUAACAAAAAGAAUGCAUUCGUUACAGCAUUUCUUUUGAAUUAUCUACCAUUUUACUGAUUGUUUGUUUUUUGAAAAUCAAACAAACAAAAUUGUACUUUGUUUGUAAUGUAAAAACUAAUACUCACCGCUUUUCAAGAUCACCCACUUCCUGAACACAAACUACUUUAUUUUCCUUAGCCAAAGCCAUUAUAAUGUUUUUUCUUUUAGACAUAGUUUUCAAAACUUUAUAUAAUUAGAUUAAAACAAAUUCACCACCAGACGAGUAUAUGUAGGUAUACACAGUUGAGACUGGCUCGACAGACUGAAUAAUUUAACGAAGUGCAUUGGAAGAACAUAGUAAAAGAUCCUUCGUUUUCGCGCCAAAGCGGAAUUAAAUUGGAAAUACCUAGCAUACACACUUUAAAAUAAUUCGCCGAGUUUAAAUGACCGGAAAAAAUAUGGAUAUAUCUAGUAAAUGACUUUGCUAGUUUUUUGUUUAGAAAUAUGACGUUUUUGUCUUUCGGCUUAAAAAUGGUAAGGUAUGUUAUUAGGAACUUCCAAUUUAAAAAAAAUAUUUAUAUAUACACUUUUCAAAGGAAAUAUUUAGUAAAAGCCUUUGUUAUAUUUUUCCUUCUGAAAUAAGUAGAAAUGUAUCGUUCACUGUAUAAGUUGCUAUGUUUAUUCUAAAAAAAUAACAAGAUGCUAGGUUUUUCCAACCAAAUUUAUUGAAAUUACCAUUUUGCUAGGAUUUUCCAUCUGAAAUAACUUUCUUAAAAAUGCAAGUAUUUACAAGUUUUAAGUACCAGUCGAUAAAGAGCUUCAUGGGGUUUCACACAAUUGAUACUAAGCAUAAACCUAGUAAGUCACUUUACUAGGUUUUUCCUUUUCACGGGAGAGCUGUAUCUAUUUUAAAUAAUAAAAAAUGUGGCAGAGUCUCGAAGAGUUAUAACGCCAUUGAUGAUGAUGAUGACCAAAUACUUUUGAAAUUACAAAAAUGAAUAGGUUUUUUUGUAUUACAAUCAAGAUUAUCGUUUUCAGGACAAGCAAUUAUCAUCACAAAUAGGAUGUUUUGAACAGGGUUAUUCAAAGCAGAGUGCUGCAUGCACGAUUUUUGAAAGAACUCACAAUUGGAAUUCGAUAUUUGGUAAUCGAAAUUACAAUUCAUGCUUAAAUUUAAUUGCUAAUCACUAUUUUCGUACCAAAAACCGGUUUAAUGGCGAUUGCUAUAAUAGCCCUAUCUAUACCUAUAACCCAUCUGCACACUAAUGGAACGCAGAUUCAGAUAGAGCGCGUUAAACAGUCUUGCUACCUGGGAACUAUUAUAAAUAAUGAGCAGUAGAGCAAAAAAGUUGAAAAUGGUGGAGGUAUUUAGCAUCAACGGUUCUCCUUUAAAAUCAAUAUGACGGCUAACCCUUCAGCGGAAUUCAGUCGCAAUUUUAAAUUUACACCACUAUUGACCUCCCCUAAAGGUUAGAAUUAUAAAAUUUGGGGCAGCUGGGAAACAAGAUUCAAUUCAAUAAUUAUGCUCCCCACCCCUUUUUAAUAUAUUCCCGCUAACUCGGAAAAUAUCAACCGCACGAAAAAAAUUGUCAAAAAGAAAUAAUUGUAGGAAAUCAUAUUUGAAACAAUUUUAAAUAUUCGUAAAAAAAAUGAAAGAGAUCAAAAUUCAAAAUUAUGUAUAAGUUAAUUCUAUCUACUAAGUUCUAUUUUUGUAUUAUAGGUACCUACAUUUUUGUCGUAAAACUCAUAAUUAACGAGACAAUUCAAUAGUUAUGCUCUAACUCUAACCUCUAACUGUCACUAUUUCCCCCCAUAACUUGGAAAAUAUCGACAUCAUAAAAUAGUUAUUUUCCUAACUACUGCGGAAAGUGAUAAUUUCACGCACGAGACGCCGUUGACCCGAACGACGCGAUAGCGGAGUUCGGGCAGGCAUUCGAGUGCGAGGAACACACUUUCCGCACGAGUUAGGAAUAAUAUUUAUUCUAGGGCCGUACGUUUGGAAAAAGCCACAAAAAAUAGAGUUAUAUCAAUUUUUAUUUAGAAGUGAAAAUACACAAAUCAAUUAUUUGACAAGGUUGUCAAAAACAAACUUUCAAUAUUAGUUUAUUGCAUGUAUUAUAAUAUAUUAUAAUGCAAUAUUACAAGGUAUUUUACUUUCCCGCACGUCGUGCGUGAAAUUGGAACUUUCGGAAACGAAAUGCGUGCGUGAAUCUUUAGUACCAUGGUUGGAUUAUAACCGUUCACUGUACACUCGUCACCUCAUCUGUCAUUCUGCCUGGCAUAAUGACGGGGUAGUUACAUUCGCGGUCGGACGGACCGAUGGACAGACAGCCUUGGUCUAAUUUCUCAUCUUUAUACCAUCCUUGGAUUAUAAGCUUUCAUUCGACACCUUAUUUGUCAUUCUACCUGGUACAGUGAUGGAGGAGUUAUAUUCGUGGUCAAGCAGACCGACGGACCAAAUUGCUCAUCUGUAGUACCAUUGUUGGAUUAUAACCGUUCAUUCGACCCCUCAUGUGUCAUUCUACCUGGCAUAAUGACGGAGUAGUUAUAUGCGCGGUCGGACGUACCGACGGACAGACAGUCUAAAUUUCUCAUCUUUAGUACCAUCCUUGGAUUAUAAGCAUUCAUUUGACAACUUUAUUCGGCAAAAAUAUUUCUUGGGGAUUUUUUGUCCGAUUUUUUGCGGGGAUAUUUUGUCAAAAAAAAAUUGUGGGGAUUAUCUGUCCGGGAUUUUUUGUGGGGAUUAUUUGUCCGGGGAUUAUUUGUGGGCAUUAUUUGUGAGGAUUAUUUGUGGGGAUUUUUUGUCCUUGGAUUUUUUGUCCGGGGAUAAUUUGUGGGGAUUUUUUGUCCGGGAUUAUUUGUCCGGACCCCUAAUAAACUCAUAUUUGUCAAGUACCGAAAUUUCCUAAGGAAAGUUUCAAACGGGCCAUUACGCUCCUGAAUUUUUGAUGUUUAUUUAAUUUUUUUCGUAGCGCCAUCUUAUACAUAAUUGCUACAUUAACAGAGCUUAGAUUCUUACAGAUUCCUAUACUUUUUGUGUAUUAUAUGUACAAGAUUUACGUUUCACAUGCCAAUUUCUAUUAAUUCCAGAAAUUUAUUUUAAAAGUACACCACGCAAAAAGUACUUUAUUAAUUCACAUUUUUUUAACGUUACAUCCUUCCGUUACAUAUAGGCUAGUGCUAAACGGACUUUUAUCAUGAAAUUCAUUUAAAUACUUGAGUAAUUUAGAUAUAAACGCUCUUAUAUUUAUUGAGAAAAAAGCAAAACUUUCACAUUUUUUUAUAAAAAAUACACAACAGGUAGGGUAGCAAAAAUAUGGCUGUAAUUAGCGAGAUAUAUUGUUAGUAGGUUAAGCAUUUUUCGGUAUACAUAUAUGCUCUAGAUUAUGAGUGGUGUACUUUAUAAAGGUGAUGGGAUCGCCUAUACUUGUAACAUUACCAAUGGCCGGCCUUAAGGAGUUCUUCAGUGUUAUUUGUAUCAGCAUGUCGUUGAACCAAAAUAUAUGUAGCUGAUAACAAAAACAACACUUUUCCAAUUUUCAAUGUAGCAGUGUAUGUUUUUUUGAUGUCUGAUUAUCAGUCACUUGUCAUUUAUUAAGUCAAUUGCACAGUGGAAUAAUUAUGAACAAAAACUCUCUUACUGUUGUUUUUCUCUUCCUCCUACAUUUCUCAGGACCUAACUAUGGGCCAUUCCAUGAACAUACGCCUGUUUUGGAUUACUUCGACAACGAAUAUUUUACUGUGCAACACAAGAAGUACAAAAGUAAAUGGCGCUAAUAAUUAUUCCAAUAAACAAUAAUGUAAUUUGCAAUUUACUUUCGUUCUUCUUAUUUUGCACAGUCAAAUAUUCGUUGUCGAAGUAAUCCAAAACAGGCGUAUGUUUGUGGAAUAGGGUAGACCAACAAUCUAAUGCGGGUUUCGAGAGUAGUAUUCUUUAAAAAUAAGAAGCUAAUAAAGCCUCAGUUGAGCUCACUUCAAUGAAAGCACAAUCUAAUCACUAGUUUAAUCCCUAUGUUUCAUUACUUAGUGACUUAGUUUUAACCCGUCACUACUUUGACAUAGUUGUGUUGUCAAAUGCCAACAAAGUAACAUUGUGUUCACACUAAUUCGUACCAUACUUUUAUAUGCAACAAAUAUGUCAGUCAUAGUUGUAUUAUUCACAAUUGUAAAUGAACUCAUAUUAUAAGUGCUGAGAAUUAGAUGACAAUGUAUUAAUGAUAUAUAGCAGGAGUGUAAUAGUAAAUAUUGAAAGGCGUAUAAACAAAAAUUGUUUUGCUUUCCAAGUGCCUUAAUUUUUUCCAUAACUUUGGUUUCAGAUCUUAGCUUAAACUUUUGUGUUUUGUCCAUAUUUAUAUUUGCGUGAGUGUGUUGGGUACUCUUUUGUUAUAAAAAUAUUUAACACAUUUAUAACCAAAGAACGGAUGAAGUGAGGAAAAUAUACACACUCGGAGCACGGUUUAAAGGUCAGUGUAAAGCUGAUGGAACUGGAAGCUGAUUCUUGAACAGACUAAGACCCACCAAGGGUUGUCGAGUCAAUGAUGAUGAUAGCGAUAAAUUCAAACAUAGUAAACCUGCAGUUUGUAUAACAAACAACUGUUUACUACUUUCUACAUUUGUCAAGGCUUAAUCCAAAACACAAGAUAGAAAAUUAAACAAGGAAAAAGUUAUUCAACUGGAAACGUCCUAAAUGUGACGUGGGGCUAGUUACUACUAUACAUCACUAAAAAUUCAGUGGAUGAGAUAGAUUUAUUUAUUUAGAUUUGGGAAUCUAACCAUGAGUAGUGGAAUGGCACCGAACAGUAGGUGUAAAUUCUCCUCCAUGUAAAUAUCUUGGUUUAUGACUGAUUGGGCUUCCAUAAAAAAAACAAUGUUUUAUAAUUGGGACAAAUACUGUAAAAUUUGGAAUGUGAGUGAUAAUUUUUCAUAAGUGAUUGUAUAUGUUGUCUUGUGCAUAAAAUAUAUCUGAAUCCACCUAAGUAA
rnacentral:lncRNA from 1 species